rnacentral:rRNA from 1 species
GACGAACGCUGGCGGCGUGCCUAAUACAUGCAAGUAGACCGCAGUUGCGAACGGGUGAGUAACGCGUAGGUAACCUGCCUCAUAGCGGGGGAUAACUAUUGGAAACGAGAGCUAAUACCGCAUACUGUGAGAUGGACCUGCGUUGUAUUAGGUAGUUGGUGAGGUAAAGGGUCACCAAGGCGACGAUACAUAUCCUACCUGAGAGGGUGAUGCGCCACUCUUGUACGGUGACUAGGCACAGACUGCUACGGGAGGCAGCAGUAGGGAAUCUUAGGCAAUGGAUGGAAGUCCGACGAAACCACGCCGCGUGAGUGAGGAAGGUUUUCGGAGCGUAAAGCUCUGUUGGUAGAGAAGCGGUAGUUAACCAGAAAUGGACGGCUAACUACGUGCCAGCAGCCGCGGUAAUUC